GACGAACGCUGGCGGCGUGCUUAACACAUGCAAGUCGAACGGAAAGGCCCUGCUUUUGUGGGGUGCUCGAGUGGCGAACGGGUGAGUAACACGUGAGUAACCUGCCCUUGACUUUGGGAUAACUUCAGGAAACUGGGGCUAAUACCGGAUAGGAGCUCCUGCUUCAUGGUGGGGGCUGGAAAGUUUCGGCGGUUGGGGAUGGACUCGCGGCUUAUCAGCUUGUUGGUGGGGUAGUGGCUUACCAAGGCUUUGACGGGUAGCCGGCCUGAGAGGGUGACCGGCCACGUUGGGACUGAGAUACGGCCCAGACUCCUACGGGAGGGAGCAGUGGGGAAUAUUGCACAAUGGGCGGAAGCCUGAUGCAGCAACGCCGCGUGCGGGAUGACGGCCUUCGGGUUGUAAACCGCUUUCGCCUGUGACGAAGCGUGAGUGACGGUAAUGGGUAAAGAAGCACCGGCUAACUACGUG
rnacentral:rRNA from 1 species